rnacentral:snoRNA from 1 species
UGCCUCUCAGGGUCACACCUGGAGAGUUUCCAGUACUCUAUCAGUCUUGACUACAGGAGGGAGAGUCAAGCAGAGGCCUACCUAUUCCAUUCCUAGCUUGGCCAGUGGCGAGCAAGUGGAAGGCCAUCUGCUACAAAU